UACGAAGGGGGCGAGCGUUGUUCGGAUUUACUGGGCGUAAAGGGCGCGCAGGCGGCUCAUUUUGUCAGGCGUGAAAGCCCCGGGCUUAACCUGGGAACUGCGUUUGAUACGGAUGGGCUAGAGUUCGGGAGAGGAGAGUGGAAUUCCCAGUGUAGAGGUGAAAUGCGCAGAUAUCAGGAGGAACACCGGUGGCGAAGGCGGGUCUCUGGGCCGAUACUGACGCUGAGGAGCGAAAGCGUGGGGAGCGAACAGG
rnacentral:rRNA from 1 species